CAAUGAAAAAAAAAAAAAGUCAAAUCUCUGUUAAUGUGAAAUACAGUUGAGGACAGUUAACUCUCUUAAGUCUAAGGGCCCCCAAACGAUGAAUUCAUUGGUGUGUGUCCAAAGACCCUAGGUCUUUUGUAUAAAUAUUUAUUAGCAGGUUUAGGAUAUUGAUUUCAGGUGCCAUGCCCUUUAUUUCCUUUCGUUAUAGUUCCCAGACGCUUCUGUCUUUUCCAAUUAGGUACUGAAAAGCAUUCAAUAUAGAUUCAGAUAGUAAUUUCAUCUUAGAGUUUUACAGUUAUAGCAAUUAUUUUAAUAAAAUAAUUCUGGUUUCAGUAUCAUAUCAAUAAGCUGUCAAUCAUGACGUCAGAGAAUCAUUUGAACAACAGUGACAAAGAAGUUGAUGAGGUUGAUGCUGCCCUUUCAGACCUGGAGAUUACUUUGGAAGGGGGUAAAACGUCAACAAUUUUGGGUGACAUUACUUCCAUUCCUGAACUUGCUGACUAUAUUAAAGUUUUCAAGCCAAAAAAAGCUGACUCUGAAAGGUUACAAGCAUAUUGGUGCACCUUCAAAG